rnacentral:rRNA from 1 species
AACGAACGCUGGCGGCAUGCUUAACACAUGCAAGUCGAACGCUCGGGCUUCGGCCCGGGAGUGGCGCACGGGUGAGUAGCGCGUGGGAACCUGCCCUCUUGUGGGGAUAACCGAGGGAAACCUCGGCUAAUACCGCAUAAGCCGGAGAGAUCCGGGAAAGAUUUAUCGCGAGAGGAGGGGCCCGUCGUCGGAUUAGCUUGUUGGGUAGGGGUAACGGCCUACCAAGGCGAUGAUCCGUANCUGGCUGAGAGGAUGAUCAGCCACGCUGGGACUGAGA